GACGAACGCUGGCGGCGUGCUUAACACAUGCAAGUCGAACGGAAAGGCCCUGCUUUUGUGGGGUUCUCGAGUGGCGAACGGGUGAGUAACACGUGAGUAACCUGCCCUUGACUGUGGGAUAACUUCAGGAAACUGGGGCUAAUACCGGAUAGGAUCUCCUGCUGCAUGGUGGGGGUUGGAAAGUUUCGGUGGUUGGGGAUGGACUCGCGGGUUAUCAGCUGGUUGGUGGGGUAGUGGCGUACCAAGGCUUUGACGGGUAGGCGGCCUGGGAGGGUGGCCGGCCACCAUGGGACUGAGAGACGGACCAGAAUGCUACGGGCGGCAGCGGUGGAAAGUAUUGCACAGUGAGGGGAAGCCUGAUGCAGCAACGCCGCGUGCGGGAUGACGGCCUUCGGGUUGUAAACCGCUUUCGCCUGAGACGAGGCGUGAGUGACGGUAAUGAGUAAAGAAGCAACGGCUAACUACGUG
rnacentral:rRNA from 1 species